rnacentral:tRNA from 2 species
CCCUCAUAGAUCAGUUGGUAGAAUAACCGCCUUGUAAGCGGUAGGUCAUGGGUUCGAAUCCUAUUGGGGAACCA